rnacentral:rRNA from 1 species
UGGGGAAUAUUGGACAAUGGGCGCAAGCCUGAUCCAGCAAUGCCGCGUGGGUGAAGAAGGCCUGCGGGUUGUAAAGCCCUUUAAGCGGGGAGGAAAGCCGGGGGUGAAUAGCGCCUCGGGUGACGUUACCCGCAGAAUAAGCACCGGCUAACUCCGUGCCAGCAGCCGCGGUAAUACGGGGGUGCGAGCGUUAAUCGGAAUUACUGGGCGUAAAGCGUGCGUAGGCGGCGCAAUCAGUCAGCCGUGAAAG